UACAGAGGUCUCAAGCGUUUGUUCGGAUUCAUUGGGCGUAAAGAGCUCGUAGGCGGCUUGGCAAGUCGGGUGUGAAAACUUCAGGCUCAACCUGGAGCGGCCACUCGAUACUGCCAUGGCUAGAGUCCGGUAGGGGACCACGGAAUUCCUGGUGUAGCGGUGAAAUGCGCAGAUAUUAGGAAGAACACCGGUGGCGAAGGCGGCCCACUGGAUCGGUACUGACGCUGAGGAGCGAAAGCGUGGGGAGCAAACAGG
rnacentral:rRNA from 1 species